GGUUGUGGUGCGGUUGGUAGCACUGUUGCUCCUGGUCCUGGGUUGGUCCUGGGUUCGAUUCCCAGCCA